rnacentral:lncRNA from 1 species
AGCAAGUCUCCUUACCUGGGACUUCGAGUCUGGUUUCUGUGGCUGGGAACCAUUUCCCACCGAAGACUCCCACUGGGAGGUAGUGAGAGGACUGAGCAAUGGAGAACAUCUGUUUCUUGAGGCUGGUCACACAGUGAGCAGAAACCAAGGAUCAUUUAUUUAUUUUGGACCACAGAAGUCCACUGCAGUGGCCAGGCUUGGCAGUCCUAUCCUUACCAAAUCACUCACUACCUUUACUCCUUGCCAGGUGCGGUUUUGGUAUCAUUUAUCAGAGCAUUCCAGUCUCUCUGUUUUCACAAGAACAUCAGUAGAUGGCAGUUUGCUAAAGCAGAGUGAAGUGACCCAAUUCUCUGACUCUCAGUGGAGCCAAGCAAAAGUUGAUCUCCACGCAAAAGCUGAAGAGUCUACUCUUCCUUUCCAG